GACGAACGCUGGCGGCGUGCUUAACACAUGCAAGUCGAACGGAAAGGCCUGCUUUCCCUUGUGGAUUGCGGGUACUCGAGUGGCGAACGGGUGAGUAACACGUGAGUGAUCUGCCCCCAACUUGGGUAUAAGCCUGGGAAACUGGGUCUAAUUCCCGAUAGGACUGCAGGGUGGUGCCUGUGGUGGAAAACGAUUUUCUAGUGGUUGGGGAUGAGCUCGCGGCCUAUCAGCUUGUUGGUGGGGUAAUGGCCUACCGAGGCGGCGACGGGUAGCCGGCCUGAGAGGGUGGACGGCCACAUUGGGACUGAGAUACGGCCCAGACUCCUACGGGAGGCAGCAGUGGGGAAUAUUGCACAAUGGGCGGAAGCCUGAUGCAGCGACGCCGCGUGGGGGAUGACGGCCUUCGGGUUGUAAACUCCUUUCGACCGCGAGGAAGCCACCUGGUUGGAAGGGUGGUGACGGUAGUGGUAGAAGAAGCACCGGCUAACUACGUG
rnacentral:rRNA from 1 species